rnacentral:misc_RNA from 1 species
UUUCCGUUGGUGAACCAGCGGAGGGAUCAUUACCGAGUGCUAACUCAUAACCCUUUUUGAACCUAUAUCUUUUGCUUCGGCGGCGCGCUCUCGCGCGAGCCCGCCGGUAAUAUCAGUAUCUCUGUUUGAACCCGACCAUACUGAUGAGUGUUCUUAGCGAACAGUUAAAACUUUUAACAACGGAUCUCUUGGCUCUA